AAGGGAUGCGCCGCGUUUUUUCCUUUAUUUGGAAUAUGAAUGAAUAUUAUCAUUCUCAUCUUCGAAUUACUUGACAUUCUUACUGGAUCAAAUUCGGUAGAAAUUAAAGAUAACAAUGUAAAGUCAAAUCAACGUGUAUCGUUGUAUGUGUGCAUGCGGUAAAGCAUGACAAAGUAGCGCCACCACGUGGUAGAAACUUCACGGUCGACCUUCACGGACAGUUUGAUAAUGGAGAACAAAAGAAGUAGGAGGGAUAGAGUGGAAAGAAGAGAACUGACAUUCAAAGCAUGUGCGCGCCAUGUAGCACGUUUUACAAGAUGGAGUCAAAACGGCGACGUAAGGAAUUGAUACGAGAGAAGGAGAGGAAAGGAAGAAGCGAAAAAGAGAGAGACAGAGAGAGAGAGAGAGAGAGGGAGGGAGAGAAGAAGACGAAAAGAGAGAAAGAGCGUGCGAACAAGAGAGAGAAAGAGAGAGAGAGAGACAGAAUGACGACCAAACAGGAAGGAGGGGAGAUAGAAGAAAGGCGGGAAAAAAGAAAGGAAGCGCGAUGGAAAGACGUAAAAGAGAAUGAAGGUGCUUGACCUCGGUGAGAUCGUUCUGACGUGGCUCGUUACCCCUUAACGGGCUUACACCGAGAGCGGAGGUCGCCGUUGCUGCGGCCGGCGUCCCACCGUCAGUCAUGCUGGCGUACAUGUGAUCAAAA